rnacentral:rRNA from 1 species
CAGCAGUCAAGAAUAUUAGUCAAUGCUCGAAAGAGUGAACUAGCUAACUGAAAUCAAUUAAAAUAAUUGAUAACAUAAGGGAAAAUAAUGAUAUUACCUUAUUAUUAGUGUCGUCCAAAUCUGGUGCCAGAAGACUCGGUAAGGCCAGAGACACAAACGUUAAUCGUCUUAAUCAGGCGUAAAGGGUUUGUAGGCGGCUUUAAAAUUUACUUAUACAAAAAUAAUAAGUAAAGAAUAAAAGCUAGAAUCAAAUAGAGGAUAUAUGAAAGAAUGCUUAGAGUAGGUCUGAUAUCCUUAGAUACUAAGUAGAAUAUUAAAGGCGAAAGCUUUUUUCCAUUAAUGAUUGACGCUCAGAAACGAAGGUGAGGAUAGGAAAUAGGAUUAGAUACCCAGAAUACCCCUCUCUGUCAACGAUGAAUGGUAGUUAUUAGUAAAAAUUAUUAAUGGCAAUGUUAACACGAUAACCAUUCCGCCUUGUGAGUACAACUGCAAAGUUGAAAACAAAAAAAUUAGUCGGUUUCGGAGCAAACGAAGUGAAGCAUGUUAUUUAAUUCGAUAAUCCGCA